rnacentral:rRNA from 1 species
AUUGAACGCUGGCGGCAGGCCUAACACAUGCAAGUCGAACGGUAACAGGAAACAGCUUGCUGUUUCGCUGACGAGUGGCGGACGGGUGAGUAAUGUCUGGGAAACUGCCUGAUGGAGGGGAUAACUACUGGAAACGGUAGCUAAUACCGCAUAACGUCGCAAGACCAAAGAGGGGGACCUUAGGGCCUCUUGCCAUCGGAUGUGCCCAGAUGGGAUUAGCUAGUAGGUGGGUAAAGGCUCACCUAGGCGACGAUCCCUAGCUGGUCUGAGAGGAUGACCAGCCACACUGGAACUGAGACACGGUCCAGACUCCUACGGGAGCAGCAGUGGGAAUAUGCACAAUGGGCGCAAGCCUGAUGCAGCCAUGCCGCGUGU